rnacentral:tRNA from 1 species
CAUUAAGAAGCUAUGAACCAGCACUAGCCUUUUAAGCUAGAGAAAGAGGGAAGUCCCUCCUUAAUGA